rnacentral:rRNA from 1 species
ACGGAUAUCUCGGCUCUCGCAUCGAUGAAGAACGUAGCGAAAUGCGAUACCUGGUGUGAAUUGCAGAAUCCCGCGAACCAUCGAGUCUUUGAACGCAAGUUGCGCCCGAGGCCAUCUGGCCGAGGGCACGCCUGCCUGGGCGUCACGCCAAACACGCUCCCACCCCACUAAACAUGGGGCGGGAUGCGGCAUGUGGCUCUCCGUCUCGCAAGGGGCGGUGGGCCGAAGAUCCGGCUGCCGGCGUAUCGUGCCGGACACAGCGCGUGG